GUUCUCGUGUAAAAGAGGGGAGGACAGUUUAGGUUUAGCCGUGGAAGGAAAAGCCUACGGAAAAGAUCACGGUAACCUUGGUCAAUAUUCUCAUUGAAGAAACUAUAACAUUUCAGCUCAUGAGCUGUGGCCAUGCUGGGGCACCGCCAUUCGGUGUUGCUACAUAAUUUUACUUCACGAAUUUUACUUCAGGAAUUGACAUUUGGUGCAUGAAAGAAUUUGAUGCAGCUGCACUCAUCUGCACCUCCUACCGCGAAGUUGGUUCAUCUGGGACACUUGACAGGAAGAGGUCCAGCUUUAUAUAUGGAGAAAAGUGUGAGAAAAAGAGAAGCACAAGGCCCAAAAUUUGUGGGGAGGAGUACAGUCUAUUACAUCGACCCAAGUACUCAACUGGUACUUAAUUUAUCGACCCCGGAAGGACGAAAGGCAAAGACGACCUUGGCGGAACUUCAACUCAGAACUUAGCAUCAACAACAACAACAAUGACAACAAUCCACCAACAUAGAGAAAUAUAUCUUUGGUAAACUCGAAUAAGCCGGCAGCUCAAAAGCGAAGUAUACCUCCUCUCUGAACAGAAAUAUGUGCGAGAGAAUCGGUUUAGUUCAUCGAUAUAAAACGGGAUGAAACAACUUAAGCUCACCGACUUCUGAUUGCAUUAAAAAAUAUCUACGUAUGUACGAUUCAAAAUGGAAAUCAAA